GCCAGACCGGCAGUGACUGAGGGCGUGUUCUCACCCCUGGGUGGGAGGGGAGACGGCGGGAGUGCCUGGUCCAAGGAGGCAACAGAGAGUAUUUCUGGUUUGGCUUUGGUGCAGUUUCCAGGCAGAGAACAGAUCACCCCCUGUAGGGGAAGCCAGCUGUCACAUCAUGAAGAUCUUUAAUCAGCGCUCUGAAGAAGUUCACAUGGUGAGGAAGUGAGUUCUCCUGCAAGCAGCCAGAUUCUGCUGAAACCCUCAUUUGUUUGGUAAAUGCUGUUGAACUCAUGCCAUAUAGUAGGCCGCAACCGGACGGCAUACAACAUGAAAUAGUAAGGUCUUCCCAGGACUCCAAGAGGAGAUAACUCGAGUCCAGCCAUCUACGGGACCACACAAGGCAGACCAAGGGGUGCCCCGCAGCAUAGCUCUGGACAGAGGCUUGGGGGCGUUUCGAGAGAGAAGAUCAGACCCUCAGCUUCUGAAGCUGUAGGUCACAGAUAUGGAGGGCCUUGCACCAGCACUGUCCUAGGUGCGGAAGAUGAAGUCAAGAACAACUUGUACAAGAGGCAAGGCUUUGUCCCCUCCAAGAGGCAUGUUAGCCCUUAAGUAUAUUCUCUGCUAAACUCCUGAAUAACUGUGGGGAUCCCCAGGCAUACUCAAACAGAGAUAAGGCUUUGCUUUUCUUUCUUU